rnacentral:rRNA from 1 species
GUAGGUGGCAGGCGUUGUCCGGAAUUAUUGGGCGUAAAGCGCGCGCAGGCGGUUCUUUAAGUCUGAUGUGAAAGCCCACGGCUCAACCGUGGAGGGUCAUUGGAAACUGGAGAACUUGAGUACAGAAGAGGAAAGCGGAAUUCCACGUGUAGCGGUGAAAUGCGUAGAGAUGUGGAGGAACACCAGUGGCGAAGGCGGCUUUCUGGUCUGUAACUGACGCUGAGGCGCGAAAGCGUGGGGAGCAAACAGGAUUGGAUACCCUGGUGGUCCACGCCGUAAACGAUGAGUGCUAAGUGUUAGGGGGGUUUUCCGCCCCCCUUAGUGCUGCAGCUAACGCAUUAAGCACUCCGCCUGGGAGUACGGCCGCAAGGCUG